UGUUAAAACUUUAAUCACUUUAUACUGUUAAAAACUAGUGUACCUAACAAAAUAAUUAGACAGUUAUACGUGGCAUGUCACGUGUACCUUAUGUUUACGUAAGAUGACCGUUUUUAACAGUAAAAAUGGAUGAAAUUGUUAAUA
rfam:Gossypium arboreum cultivar AKA8401 contig_45272_5, whole genome shotgun sequence.